GAUGAAGAACGCAGUGAAAUGCGAUACGUAAUGUGAAUUGCAGAAUUCAGUGAAUCAUCGAGUCUUUGAACGCACAUUGCGCCCCCUGGUAUUCCGGGGGGCAUGCCUGUCCGAGCGUCAUUGCUGCCCUCAAGCACGGCUUGUGUGUUGGGCCUCCGUCCUCCCCCCGGGGGACGGGCCCGAAAGGCAGCGGCGGCACCGCGUCCGGUCCUCGAGCGUAUGGGGCUUCGUCACCCGCUCUUGUAGGCCCGGCCGGCGCUUGCCGACACAUCAAUCUUUUUUCCAGGUUGACCUCGGAUCAGGUAGGGAUACCCGCUGAACUUAAGCAUAUCAAUAAGCGGAGGA
rnacentral:misc_RNA from 1 species